rnacentral:rRNA from 1 species
GACGAACGCUGGCGGCGCGCUUAACACAUGCAAGUCGAGCGAUGAAACUUUAACAGAACCCUUCGGGGCGAAGAUAAAGUGGAUUAGCGGCGGACGGGUGAGUAACACGUGAGUAACCUGCCUUAGACAUUGGGAUAGCCUCGGGAAACCGGGAUUAAUACCAAAUAAAAUCAUAAUGACACAUGUCAUAACGAUCAAAACUCCGUGGGUCUAAGAUGGACUCGCGUCCCAUUAGCUAGUUGGUAGAGUAAAAGCCUACCAAGGCGACGAUGGGUAGCCAGCCUGAGAGGGUGAACGACCACAAUGGAACUGAGAAACGGUCCAAACUCCUACGGGAGGCAGCAGUAGGGAAUAUUGCACAAUGGAGGGAACUCUGAUGCAGCGACGCCGCGUGAACGAAGAAGGCUUUCGAGUCGUAAAGUUCUUUUAUAUGGGAAGAUAAUGACGGUACCAUAAGAAAAAGCCCCGGCUAACUACGUG